rnacentral:tRNA from 4 species
GACUUAAAAUCCGUCGACUUUAUAAGUUGUGAGG